UGAUAAUUAGUUUAAUAAAAACAAAUGAUUUCGACUCAUUAGACUGUAACUUAUAUUACAAUUAUCAA
rnacentral:tRNA from 1 species